GCCAGUGUGGCGUAGUGGUUUGAGUGUUGGACUGUGACUCUGGAGGAUCAGGAUUCGAUUUCCAGCUCAGCCA